UUCAAGCUCUUCUUGUGUCAUGG
rnacentral:siRNA from 1 species